rnacentral:rRNA from 1 species
UGGGGAAUUUUGGACAAUGGGGGAAACCCUGAUCCAGCCAUCCCGCGUGUGCGAUGAAGGCCUUCGGGUUGUAAAGCACUUUUGGCAGGAAAGAAACGUCAUGGGUUAAUACCCCGUGAAACUGACGGUACCUGCAGAAUAAGCACCGGCUAACUACGUGCCAGCAGCCGCGGUAAUACGUAGGGUGCAAGCGUUAAUCGGAAUUACUGGGCGUAAAGCGUGCGCAGGCGGUUCGGAAAGAAAGAUGUGAAAUCCCAGAGCUCAACUUUGGAACUGCAUUUUUAUCUACCGGGCUAGAGUGUGUCAGAGGGAGGUGGAAUUCCGCGUGUAGCAGUGAAAUGCGUAGAUAUGCGGAGGAACACCGAUGGCGAAGGCAGCCUCCUGGGAUAACACUGACGCUCAUGCACGAAAGCGUGGGGAGCAAACAGG